rnacentral:tRNA from 1 species
ACCUGGGUGGCUCAGUGGUUGAGUGUCUGGCUUUGGCCCAGGUCAUGAUUCCAGGGUCCCAGGAUUGAGUCCUGCCUCAGGCU